CAGUCGCCGCGGGAAUACAGAGGGUGCGAGCGUUAAUCGGAUUUACUGGGCGUAAAGCGUGCGUAGGCGGCUUUUUAAGUCUGAUGUGAAAUCCCUGAGCUUAACUUAGGAAUUGCAUUCGAUACUGGGAAGCUAGAGUAUGGGAGAGGAUGGUAGAAUUCCAGGUGUAGCGGUGAAAUGCGUAGAGAUCUGGAGGAAUACCGAUGGCGAAGGCAGCCAUCUGGCCUAAUACUGACGCUGAGGUACGAAAGCAUGGGGAGCAAACAGGAUUAGAUACCCCUGUAGUCCCUGUCUCUUAUAA
rnacentral:rRNA from 1 species